AUUGAACGCUAGCGGGAUGCUUUACACAUGCACGUCGAAUGAGUGUCGGACGGGUGAGUAAUAUAUCGGAACGUUCCCAGUAGUGUGGGAUAACUACUCGAAAGAGUGGCUAAUACCGCAUACUAUUUGAGCGGCCGAUAUCGGAUUAGCUAGUUGGUGGGGUAAAGGCUCACCAAGGCAACGAUCCGUAGCUGGUUUGAGAGGACGACCAGCCACACUGGGACUGAGACACGGCCCAGACUCCUACGGGAGGCAGCAGAGGGGAAUUUUGGACAAUGGGGGAAGCCCUGAUCCAGCCAUCCCGCGGGUAUGAGAAGGCCUUCGGGUUGUAAAGUACUUUUGGCAGAGAAGCGGUAUCUGAAGAAUAAGCACCGGCUAACUACGUGCCAGCAGCCGCGGUAAUUC
rnacentral:rRNA from 1 species